GCGUCUAUGGUGAAGUGGUUAUCAUAUCUCUUUCCCACGUUUUGUCAUGGAUGGAUGGCAGGUGCAAAGAGGAGGCCGCGGGUUCGAACCCCGCUAGUCGCA
rnacentral:tRNA from 2 species